rnacentral:rRNA from 1 species
AGUGAACGCUGGCGGUAGGCCUAACACAUGCCAGUCGAACGGCAGCACAGUAAGAGCUUGCUCUUACGGGUGGCGAGUGGCGGACGGGUGAGGAAUACAUCGGAAUCUACUUUUUCGUGGGGGAUAACGUAGGGAAACUUACGCUAAUACCGCAUACGACCUACGGGUGAAAGCAGGGGAUCUUCGGACCUUGCGCGAUUGAAUGAGCCGAUGUCGGAUUAGCUAGUUGGCGGGGUAAAGGCCCACCAAGGCGACGAUCCGUAGCUGGUCUGAGAGGAUGAUCAGCCACACUGGAACUGAGACACGGUCCAGACUCCUACGGGAGGCAGCAGUGGGGAAUAUUGGACAAUGGGCGCAAGCCUGAUCCAGCCAUACCGCGUGGGUGAAGAAGGCCUUCGGGUUGUAAAGCCCUUUUGUUGGGAAAGAAAAGCAGCAGGUUAAUACCCCGCUGUUCUGACGGUACCCAUAGAAUAAGCACCGGCUAACUUCGUG